AUUUCUUUCUAGAUGGGGAGAUUAUCCUGGAUUAUCCAGGUGGGUCCUAAAUGCCAUCACAUGCAUCUUUGUAAGAGAUAGGCAGAGGGAGAUUUGAGACAGACAUGGAAGAGGUAAUGUGAAAACAAAAGCGAAUAUUGGAGUGAUACUUCCACAAGCCAAGGAAUGCCAGCAGCCAUCAGAAGCCAGAAGAGGCAAAAAGAAUGAAUUCUCAGCUGGGUGCGGUGGCUCAUGCCUGCAACGUCAGCACUUUGGGAGGCCAAGGCAGGAGGGCUUGCUAAUUGAAGUUGAAGCAUCAGAUGUCCUGAAAGCACUCAAACUCAUCAGGUAACAAAAGCCCAGACAACGGAAAUGAAGCAAAGCAAGUUAGUUCUUGAAAUGAAACUCUGGAAAUCCCAACUUGAGCAAAUAAAGAGGCAGAAAAAAAAAAACCUAGAAAAAGAAUAAAUCACAAAAUAAAAGGCACUUAGGAAGGG
rnacentral:lncRNA from 1 species